GGGGCUGUGGCUCAGUGGUAGAGCACUUGCCUACCACGCAGAGGCAUUGCGUUCAAUUCUCAGCACCA
rnacentral:tRNA from 1 species